CUGUCAACGAAGGUGUUGUCAUCAGUUGUUUAAAAUAUGAAAUAUUCAUGUUGGUUUUACUAGUUCUACGAUGUGUGUGCCAUUCCACAUCUGACCACUGUAAGGUCUGGCAGCAAAAUAAAGAUAUAUUCAAAUGGAUCAUGUGCUGUGUCUCACAUCUGACAUCAUACUAGAAAAGGGUCAUGUAAACGUAACAAAAAGGCAUGCGAAUGGACAUCAAAAUGUUGACACAGAUCGGUAUUUGAGACUUAAAUCUUCAGGAUAUAACUUCAUAAAACUGGCGGAUAAAUCAAACUGCGGAGUUCUUUCGAUUGGCGAGUAAAACAGUUGUGUCUCUUCGUAGGAACGAUGAUACAAUAUUUACGUAUGCAUACAAAUGAUGCUGUUCAAGGUAACAAGAAGAAGAUAACAUUUGGCAGUGUGAGAAAGGAAAUUUACUUCUGCAUGACGAGCAAAUGAUGUUUGCAUGCAUUUUUUAUGGGAUGCAGCUGCAGAACCACCAACAGGAAACUCUUUUUGAUAUUAUGUUGUGAUAGACUGUUUGACGGUUUUCGGCCCGCUUUGGCGAGACGGUAUUACGAUAGUUUUAUACGAAAAAUCUGCGAUUAAGUCCGGAAAUCUCGCUUAAGGAGAGAAGAAACUCGAUUAUGAUGUUCCCGCUAAAGAAAAAAAUCUUGCGUCGAACCAGAAGCUGUGUGAAUACAUCCCCGAGAAGAAAGUCACUGCGUCGGGCCAGCUGCAGUUUUUUACCAUCAUCUGAAGAUAGUAUCUUUCAGGAAUAAAGUCUUUUCGCUGGACCAGCUACUCUGCCUAACUGUGACCUCUUUUUCUCUGUCUCUCCUUCCGGUGGUGCUCAAACUCCGGAGCUCUCGAUCCAUAGGUGGACGCCCUACGACUGAGCUAUCAUGGCACACGAUUCCGUUAACAGUGUUUUGAUUGUGUCUAAUUGUAGAGCGAUGUCUAAAAAAGUUUAAAUAAUUAUUUACGACGUUAAGUCAGCAACGGCCGCAUACUAGCGUUUUUAUAAAGCUAAGCUUGUUUACAUUAAAUUCAUUUACAAUUAAUGUGCGAAGCCACUGCUGCAGACGACAAUUUAUAUUGGAAGCGAGACAAGAAAAGACGAAUACAAUACAUAUCAAUUCGCGCUAAGGUAACCACAGAGACAGUUUGCUGAGGUAUUGACUCACUAAUACUCUAUAUGAAAUAGGGGGACUUUGAGCUGCUGCAGCGCGCACUGAACAAUGCACACACCGCGGGCCAUUUGAAAGGUCUGUGACUUAGUUACUUUUUCUUGAAGAAUGUUGUCAGUGCAAUAUACAAAUUUAUUGAAAGAAUGACUUAUUUUCCGUGACAAGUUCUGUUUUUUUUUUUACGACGAAAAUGCUACCAACAUAUCAAGGAUAUCUGUUAAAUAAUUUGAGCCAAAAAGAAUGCAUCACAAGAAAGGGAUGUAUUUCUACAGAGCCAAAACUGCGAACUAUUAGAAUCCGUUAUUUUCUAUAAUUUUUUUCGCGCCAUUUUCCUAUUUGUUGAUGUCUGGAUACCUACUGAAUUGUAAUUUUGCACUUCUGAAACAGAUAUUUUUAAAAUGCAGAAUUUGAUUGAAUCCUGAUUUUUGAAAACGAAGGACAUUCAGCUAUAAAAAUGAUAAGAUCUCGUAUGCUUGAUUUAUUGUAAGACCGAUUCGGCUUUAAUUUGUUCGAAAAUUGUAGUAGGUUGACAGUUUUCAUACUUUAACAGUGUUUCUGUUAUGUGAUGACGGACAGUUAUCCAAACCAGUGUUCAUUUAUUUUGUACCUGUACAAACUUGUUCUCCGCAAGUAACUGCCAACUUCCCCACAUUAAUCAGAGGUGGAGGACAAUGAUUUCAGGUACAGUGUCUUUUAUCAAAUCGUCACAAAGAACAUACGCCUCGCCCGGGAAUCGAACUCACGACCCUGCGGUUCGUAGAUCGGCGCAUUCCUUAAGCUUAGCGGGCGGACUGAAACAAGUACUAAAUAACCCUGGAUUCUACAAAUGGUUUGAUUGUUGCAGCUAUUUUUUUAUCCACUGAAUGACAGAUAUUACUGCACAAGACCAAUUAUUGCUUGGUUUUUAGCUCACCUGUCACAAAGUCACAAGGUGAGCUUUUGUGAUCACCUUCGUCCGUCGUCAGUCCGUGCGUCCGUGCGUGCGUCAACAAUUUCUUAUCUGCACGAUAGAGGUUUCAUUAAUGAUUUUAUUUUAACCAAACUUGCACAUAACUUGAAUCACCAUAAGAUCUUGAUUCCUUUCUUGAACUGGCCAAAUCCUAUUAUGAGUUCAGAGUUAUGGCCCCUGAAAUGGACCAGAAUUAGCUUUUUUGACCUUGUCUGCACAAUAGCAGCUUCAUUUAUGAUUUGAAUUUAAUCAAACUUGCACACAACUUUUAUCACCAUAAGGUCUUAGUUCCUUUCUUGAACCGGCCAAACUGCAUUAUGGGUUCCAGAGUGAUGGCCCCUGAAAGAGCCAGAAUUAGCUUUUUUGACCCUGUCUGCACAAUAGCAGCUUCAUUUAUGAUUUGAAUUUAAUCAAGCUUGCACACAACUUGUGUC